rnacentral:rRNA from 1 species
UACGAAGGGGGCUAGCGUUGCUCGGAUUGACUGGGCGUAAAGGGCGCGUAGGCGGUUUGUACAGUCAGACGUGAAAUUCCCGGGCUCAACCUGGGGCUGCGUUUGAUACGUGCGGACUUGAGUUCGGAAGAGGGUCGUGGAAUUCCCAGUGUAGAGGUGAAAUUCGUAGAUAUUGGGAAGAACACCGGUGGCGAAGGCGGCGACCUGGUCCGAUACUGACGCUGAGGCGCGAAAGCGUGGGGAGCAAACAGG